rnacentral:rRNA from 1 species
AUUGAACGCUGGCGGCAUGCUUUACACAUGCAAGUCGAACGGUAACAGGUCUUCGGAUGCUGACGAGUGGCGAACGGGUGAGUAAUACAUCGGAACGUGCCUAGUAGUGGGGGAUAACUACUCGAAAGAGUAGCUAAUACCGCAUGAGAUCUACGGAUGAAAGCAGGGGACCUUCGGGCCUUGUGCUACUAGAGCGGCUGAUGGCAGAUUAGGCAGUUGUUGGGGUAAAGGCUUACCAAGCCGGCGAUCUGUAGCUGGUCUGAGAGGACGACCAGCCACACUGGGACUGAGACACGGCCCAGACUCCUACGGGAGGCAGCAGUGGGGAAUUUUGGACAAUGAGCGAAAGCCUGAUCCAGCAAUGCCGCGUGCAGGAUGAAGGCCCUCGGGUUGUAAACUGCUUUUGUACGGAACGAAAAGCCUGGGGCUAAUAUCCCCGGGUCAUGACGGUACCGUAAGAAUAAGCACCGGCUAACUACGUG